GACGAACCGUCCUAACGUUGUUCGGAAUCACUGGGCUUAAAGGGCGCGUAGGCGGGCAUGCAAGUCCGGGGUGAAAGCUUUCGGCUUAACCGGAAAAGGGCCUUGGAUACUGCAUGUCUAGAGGGAGGUAGGGGUAGAGGGAAUUCCCAGUGUAGCGGUGAAAUGCGUAGAGAUUGGGAAGAACAUCAGUGGCGAAAGCGCUCUACUGGACCUUAUCUGACAUUGAGGGACGAAAGCUAGGGGAGCGAAUGGG
rnacentral:rRNA from 1 species